rnacentral:ncRNA from 1 species
CUUGUGGAGUGUUAUAUCAAAUGUUAGUAGUAUGCUGAAAAGCUAUGAGAACAGACACGUUGAAGCAAGAA